GGCGCUGUGGCUUAGCUGGUCAAAGCGCCUGUCUAGUAAACAGGAGAUUCUGGGUUCAAAUCCCAGUUGUACACUGUGUUG